GUUAGGAAUAUUGGACAAUGGGCGAAAGCCUGAUCCAGCCAUGCCGCGUGAACGAUGAAGGCCUUCGGGUUGUAAAGUUCUUUAGCCGAUGAUUAUAAUGACUGUAGUCGGAAAAUAAGCCCCGGCUAACUUCGUGCCAGCAGCCGCGGUAAUACGAAGGGGGCGAGCGUUAUUCGGAAUCACUGGGCGUAAAGAGUGCGUAGGCGGUUUUGUAAGUUAGGAGUGAAAGCCCAGGGCUCAACCUUGGAAUUGCUCUUAAAACUACAAGGCUCGAAUCUCGGAGAGGAUAGCGGAAUUUCCAGUGGAGCAGUGAAAUGCGUAGAUAUUGGAAGGAACACCAGUGGCGUAAGCGGCUAUCUGGACAGAUAUUGACGCUGAGGCACGAAAGCGUGGGGAGCAAACAGGAUUAGAAACCCUUGUAGUCC
rnacentral:rRNA from 1 species